GAUGAAGAACGUAGCGAAAUGCGAUACGUAGUGUGAAUUGCAGAAUUCAGUGAAUCAUCGAAUCUUUGAACGCACAUUGCGCCCCUUGGUAUUCCAUGGGGCAUGCCUGUUCGAGCGUCAUUUGUACCUUCAAGCUUUGCUUGGUGUUGGGUGUUUGUCUCGCCUCUGCGUGUAGACUCGCCUUAAAACAAUUGGCAGCCGGCGUAUUGAUUUCGGAGCGCAGUACAUCUCGCGCUUUGCACUCAUAACGACGACGUCCAAAAGUACAUUUUUACACUCUUGACCUCGGAUCAGGUAGGGAUACCCGCUGAACUUAAGCAUAUCAAUAAGCGGAGGA
rnacentral:misc_RNA from 1 species